rnacentral:sRNA from 1 species
GCCAGGAGUGGUGGCCCACACCUAUAGUCCUGGCUACUCAGGAGGCUGAGGCAGGAGGAUCACUUGAGCCUGGGAGAUUGAGGCUGCAGUGAGCUGUGAUCUCACCACUGCACUCCAGCCUGGGCUACAAAGUGAGACCCUGUCUCAA